rnacentral:rRNA from 1 species
GACGAACGCUGGCGGCGUGCUUAACACAUGCAAGUCGAACGGAAAGGCCCUGCUUUUGUGGGGUGCUCGAGUGGCGAACGGGUGAGUAACACGUGAGUAACCUGCCCUUGACUUUGGGAUAACUUCAGGAAACUGGGGCUCAUACCGGAUAGGAGCUCCUGCUGCAUGGUGGGGGCUGGAAAGUUUCGGCGGUUGGGGAUGGACGCGCGGCUUAUCAGCUUGUUGGUGGGGUAGGGGCUUACCAAGGCUUUGACGGGUAGCCGGCCUGAGAGGGUGACCGGCGACAAUAGGACUGAGGUACGGACCAGACUCCAACGGGAGGCAGCAGUGGGGAGUAUUGCACAAUAAGCGGGAGCGUGAUGCGGCGGCGCCGCGUGCGGGAUGACGGCCUUCGAGUUGUGAACCGCUUUCGCCUGUGACGAAGCGUGAGUGACGGUACUGGGUAAAGAAGCACCGGCUAACUACGUG